rnacentral:rRNA from 1 species
AACGAACGCUGGCGGCAUGCCUAACACAUGCAAGUCGAACGAGACCUUCGGGUCUAGUCGCGCACGGGUGCGUAACGCGUGGGAACCUGCCCUUAGGUUCGGAAUAACUCCCCGAAAGGGGUGCUAAUACCGGAUAAUGUCUUCGGACCAAAGAUUUAUCGCCUUUGGAUGGGCCCGCGUUGGAUUAGCUAGUUGGUAGGGUAAAAGCCUACCAAGGCGACGAUCCAUAGCUGGUCUGAGAGGAUGAUCAGCCACACUGGGACUGAGACACGGCCCAGACUCCUACGGGAGGCAGCAGUGGGGAAUAUUGGACAAUGGGCGAAAGCCUGAUCCAGCAAUGCCGCGUGAGUGAUGAAGGCCUUAGGGUUGUAAAGCUCUUUUACCCGGGAUGAUAAUGACAGUACCGGGAGAAUAAGCGCCGGCUAACUCCGUG